GGAAUUUUCCGCAAUGGGCGAAAGCCUGACGGAGCAAUACCGCGUGAGGGAAGACUGCCUAUGGGUUGUAAACUUCUUUUCUCGAAGAAGAAGCCCUGACGGUAUUCGAGGAAUAAGCAUCGGCUAACUCCGUGCCAGCAGCCGCGGUAAUACGGAGGAUGCAAGUGUUAUCCGGAAUUAUUGGGCGUAAAGCGUCCGCAGGCGGUCUUGUAAGUCUGUCGUUAAAGCGUGGAGCUUAACUCCAUUUCAGCGAUGGAAACUGUAAGACUAGAGUGUGGUAGGGGCAGAGGGAAUUCCCGGUGUAGCGGUGAAAUGCGUAGAUAUCGGGAAGAACACCAGUGGCGAAGGCGCUCUGCUGGGCCAUAACUGACGCUCAUGGACGAAAGCCAAGGGAGCGAAAGGGAUUAGAUACCCCAGUAGUC
rnacentral:rRNA from 1 species